AUCCCCCACCCAAGAGCGCAGCCUGGAGCGGCGGGCGGCAGGGCGGCCGGGCGCGCGCUGGGGGCGAGAAGGUGAAGGAGGGCUGGGGGGACACUGGAGCGCCCGGCGCUGCCUCCACACCCCACUGCGCUGCAUUUUCUCCACCACGUGGAAGAAUCUCGUGCGGGUGGCGCCCACGGGAGGCGGGGGUCCGGGUGCCCCCCGGCCCGGACGCCGCUCCUCAGCCCCCUCCCCCGCGCGGGGCCGGGCAGUCGGCUCCCAGAAACCCAUUAGUCUUCCUCAGCGGUUGUCAAAACUUGCUGGCGGUUUUUGCUCACCUUUCCCGUUUCCCCUUUAAAAGGGAAUGAAGAGGAAGGUUACCAUGGCUUGAGAGGAGGUUCAAGGAGAAUGGAGAAUGAAACAUUCUGGAAUGCUUUUAUCCUAAUAAAACUCCCCCAAAGAAUUUGCCGUUUUUCCCUCUGCUCAAUAGCCAGGAUCUGGUUUCAGACCUGCCAGCGUAUUCCCUCAGCAACACCUCCCUGCUCAGUGCUUGUCCCCAGAUGACCUCCAUCCUGUUCAUUUCUACCAUGUUUUAGGUCAGCAUAUGUGUGAUUAUUUGGAUUAUUUGGAUUGUGACUUUGGUGGUGUGGCUGUGGACUUUACCUUGGAGGAGUGGACUUUUCUGGACUCCUCUUAGAGAAACUUAUACAGAGACACAGUACUGGAGAACUACAAGAACCUGAGCACAAUGGUAGGUUAUCAACUCUCUAAAAUCCAGUCUGAUCUCAUGGUUGGAACAAGAAGAGUGAGGACAGUAGAGAGAGGUAGUCUUCAAGGUGAAUGUGAAGAACAUCCCUCAUCAGUGAGAAGUUCAGUAUGUUUGGAAAUGUAACGAGAAACUUAUGAGAGAUGAAAAAUACAAUUAAUGAACUGAAGAAUUCAAUAAAAAGCUUGAAAAGCAGAUAUGACCAUGCAGAAGAAUGAAUCAGUGUCCUAGACGACUAGACAGUUGAAAGUACUCAGAGCAGCAAAAAGAAAAAUGAAUGAAAAAGAGUGAGGAAAACUUACAGGACUUAAUAGGACAUAAUCAAAGGAAACAAUAUCUGCAUUAUGGAAAAUCCAGAAGAUUUAAAGCAAGGAUAACUAAAAAUUUCUCAAACCCAGAGAGAAAUGGACAUCCAGAUCCAUGAGACCCAUAGGACCCCCACUAGGUUGAACGUGAAUAGGGCUACAACAAGACACAUUAUAAUUGUCAAAAGUCAAAGACAAAGAAUUUUGAAAGUGGCAAGAGAAAAGAGAUAAUUUAUAUACAAGAGAACUCCCAUAAAUAAUGGGUGGAUUUCUAAACAGAAAUUUUUCAGGCCAGGAGUGAAUGGAAUGAUAUAUUCAAAAUAUUGAAAGAAUUAAAUUGUCAACCAAGACUUCUAUACCCAGCAAAGCUGUCCUUCAGAGAGAUAAAGACGCUUUUGACCAAUCAAAACCUGUGGGGAUUCGUCACCACUACACCUGCUUUACAAGAAAUACUAAAGGGAGUUAUUUGAAUGGAAGUAAAAGGACACUGACUGACAUAAAUACAUAAGAAGCUAGAGUAAAACUCACUGGUAACAGUAAAUAUAUAUACUCAAAGUUGGAUUCUGUAAUACGGUAAUGGUGGUACAUGAUUCACUUACAACUCCAAUAUAAAGUUAGAAAAUAUAGUAAAAAUAAAAACAAAGAAAAAAAUGUUGUAGCUAUAUCGGGUGAUGGAUGUUAACUAAACUUAUUGUGGUGAUCACAUCACAGUAUAUACAAAUACUGAAUUAUUGU